UUCUAUGUAUGUAUUCUUGUAUUUAUAUUUAUAUAAAAAAUUUCUCCAAUAUUUUUCUCCUCCCCUAAACACAUCGAAAAAUGACCUUAAAUAAAUGAAGAAUAAGGUGAUUUUUUAGGGGGAAACGGGUGGAUUUUUGAAAUUCGAAAAUCACCUCCCUCUUAAGAGAUAAGGUUGAAGCUGUCAAUUGUCCCAUCUCAACAAUCUUCAACGGAUUGAUAAUGGAGAGGUAGGCGUUGUGCUCGAGGUCGUGAUUUGCUGCUGAAUUUCCGCGAUUUCGUUGGGUUAGCAACGCGAUUUGUUCGCUGGUUUUUGUUGUUGUUACGUGAAGAAGAUGAGGCAGUGGGGUC
rnacentral:lncRNA from 1 species